rnacentral:piRNA from 3 species
CGUACGUAGCAGAGCAGCUCCCU